UGCUCAGAAUUGAUUUUACUGAAAAAGUGAUUCUAUUGUCUCCCAAGUUUGUUCUUUGCUAAACUCCAGUGCUUGCAGGUGACAACAACCAUCGGGUUUGGCUCACCAAACAAGGAAAACAGUUACAAUGUUCAUGGAAGUGCAUUUCCAUGUGCCUGAUGAUGUGAAGAGCCAUUGGACCCGCCAUGUCCCAGAGGGUGCAGCAAUUGAAGCUUUGUGUGUGCAUAUCUGAUUCCUUGAUAGAAUGGCAAAACAUGGAAAAACUUCAGUUGAUGUUAAAGCUCUUACUAAAACAAAACAUAUGAGAAGAAAAAAGAAGGUAUCUAAGAAAAACAAAUCAUUGAGGUCUUCUAUGCAAGGAAGAAAAUGUGAAGCUCGAGAUUUGGAACAUCAAGAUUUUGAGGUAUAUUUGUUUUGACAUUUUUGUGGCAUCAUGACAUUUUUGUAGUUGGUUGAUGAAACUUUUAAAUUUUUAUAGCAGCAUGAUAGCACUCUGAUAUCUCAACAUAACAAUAAACGCAAGGGUAAAGGAAUUGCUCUUUCACAAUCUCAGGAUUAGAUAUUGCAGCCUCCAUCAGUGGCUAUUUUAGAAGAAGAUAAUAUGCAAAUAAGAAUGAUACCUAUGCCGAAAAACGCAGCAAGUAAUUGUGAGGCCGAAAGACAAGAAGAAGGGGAGAAGACUGCCUAGGAUUCAGCAUCCACCUGCAACACCAAACAAGAAUCCGUUUGAUGGUGUUCCUCUGCAUAGAUGUGAGGGCAGUGAUCACUAUAAGGAAGAAGAUUAGGAAGAGGCUUGUUGACAAGAUUGAAGACCAGUUGGUGCUU